GAAAUGCGAUAAAUAAUAUGAAUUGCAGAAUUCAGCGAAUCAUCGAGUUUUUGAACGCACAUUGCGCCCUCUGGUAUUCCGGAGGGCACGUCCGACCGAGCGUCGCUUUACCACUCAGGCCCCGCCUGGUGUUGGGGCAUGCGGGAAGCCGCAGCCCCCAAAUACAGUGGCGGUCCCCGUGGGGUCCUUUGCGCAGUAAUAGCAAUCGCUGUCGCCUCGGAGCCUCCGCGGGCGGCCCGCCGUAAAACGCCCAACGUCUUCUACAUGUUGACCUCGGGUCGGACGAGAUUACCCGCUGAACUUAA
rnacentral:misc_RNA from 1 species